GACAGAGGCCUCAAGCGUUAGGCGGAAUCACUGGGCUUAAAGCGUGUGUAGGCGGAUCGUUAAGUGCCUUGUGAAAUCCCACGGCUUAACUGUGGAACGGCUGGGCAUACUGGCGGUCUUGGGCCACCCAGGGGGUCACCGGAACAGGCGGUGGAGCGGUGAAAUGCGUAGAUAUCGCCUGGAACGCCGACGGUGAAAACAGGUGACUGGGGGUGUGCCGACGCUGAG
rnacentral:rRNA from 1 species